CCCAGACUCCUACGGGAGGCAGCAGUGGGGAAUAUUGCACAAUGGGGGAAACCCUGAUGCAGCGACGCCGCGUGAGUGAAGAAGUAUUUCGGUAUGUAAAGCUCUAUCAGCAGGGAAGAAAAUGACGGUACCUGACUAAGAAGCCCCGGCUAACUACGUGCCAGCAGCCGCGGUAAUACGUAGGGGGCAAGCGUUAUCCGGAUUUACUGGGUGUAAAGGGAGCGUAGACGGCAUGGCAAGUCAGAUGUGAAAGCCCGGGGCUCAACCCCGGGACUGCAUUUGAAACUGUUUUUCUUGAGUACUGGAGAGGCAGACGGAAUUCCUAGUGUAGCGGUGAAAUGCGUAGAUAUUAGGAGGAACACCAGUGGCGAAGGCGGCUUACUGGACAGUACCUGACGUUGAGGCUCGAAAGCGUGGGGAGCAAACAGGAUUAGAUACCCUAGUAC
rnacentral:rRNA from 1 species